UACGUAGGGGGCAAGCGUUGUCCGGAUUUAUUGGGCGUAAAGAGCGUGUAGGCGCCAGACAGGUCCGUUGUGAAAACUAGAGGCUUAACCUCUAGACGUCGAUGGAAACCGUCUGGCUAGAGUCCGGAAGAGGAGAAUGGAAUUCCUGGUGUAGCGGUGAAAUGCGCAGAUAUCAGGAAGAACACCCGUGGCUAAGGCGGUUCUCUAGUACGGUAC
rnacentral:rRNA from 1 species